AGGAAGUUCAUCUUUACUCAUUGCUGCCCACAGAAGCCAAACUGUUGGACACCAAUGAUGUAAACUAAGCAGAAGCUGCUUCAAAGCCAUGGGACUCUGGAUCAUCCCUACAAAGAUAAAGAUGCCAGGACAAUUUAAAGAAAUGGGAAAAUGCUGGAAAUCAGCUGGUACUUGAUUGACAAGGAACGGGUGAAACUAAGGGAAUCCAGCUUCUUCUCCAUCUUCCCAGUGAGAGCCAAAAAUAUAAAAGAAAACAGAAGAAAAGAGUGAGAAUCAGCCCUAGGACUUAACUACAAGGGUCAUGAAGUUCUAUAGAAGAUGGAAUUUUCAAUCUCUACAGGCUUACUAUUUUGAAGUCAUGGCCUUCAAAGCUAAAGGAAAAUGAUGGAGAUUAGUGCCACCAAUAAAGCCUGAAAGUAUCCUGGAAUAGGAGUGCUAAUCAUAGACCACAUGUCAUUCAACAAUCUGGGUCCUACAAACACUGGAGAGAUUCUGGAGGAUAUUAAGUGCUACAAACUCAAACUUAGCCUAGGAGUCAUCUCCAUUAUUGCCGUCAUCCUAGACAUUCUUCAAUUCGCCUGGCCAGCUGUGCAAUUGCAGCCCUGAGAGUCACCAUUCUAUUCUCACGAAGGAUAACCGGUACUACAACUAGCAUUAUCUCCAUCCCUGGGAAGGAGGCCAAUGCGGUGAAUCAGUUUGGCUGCUGGUUUUCUAAAAAACCACUCCUGUUGUUGGACUUCCAAAAUGGUCACAUUUAUUGUUUGGUAGAGCCAGCCGUGAAAGGGCAAGCUCACUGAACGCCAACAAAGAUUAAGAAACAACACUGAACUCGAAAUGUAAUCAGUGCAGAAACCCAAGUUCAAAAUACUUGGAAAUAUCUCUUCCUGGUGCAGGAAUACUAAUUACUAAUGCAAAACACAGGGAGGAAGAAAAUAAGCAGGAUAUAAUUUUUACCAAAUUAAACAUAAACGUGAGACCUAUUUCUCAAGCUUCCAAAAGUUGCCUUUAGGCUGAUGGCAAAUGGAGAAAACUCUACCCCACACAUGGGAAGUUAUGAACAGCUGGAAGAAGGUUAUUAUAACAUUUUCAGUCUUAACAGUGUUAAUUGCUCCUGUGGCUGAUAAAAGACCUAUGCAGCUUCCGAAGAGAUAACUAAAUGAAACAGCAGAGUUCUUGGUCCCUGGAUAGUGGCCAUGUUGGCCUCACAGUACCUGAGGUAACUCUUUUUUCAGUACCAGGAAUCGAACUCAGGA